AGUGAACGCUGGCGGUAGGCCUAACACAUGCAAGUCGAACGGCAGCACAGUAAGAGCUUGCUCUUACGGGUGGCGAGUGGCGGACGGGUGAGGAAUACAUCGGAAUCUACUUUUUCGUGGGGGAUAACGUAGGGAAACUUACGCUAAUACCGCAUACGACCUACGGGUGAAAGCAGGGGAUCUUCGGACCUUGCGCGAUUGAAUGAGCCGAUGUCGGACUAGCUAGUUGGUGGGGUAAAGGCCCACCAAGGCGACGAUCCGUAGCUGGUCUGAGAGGAUGAUCAGCCACACUGGAACUGAGACACGGUCCAGACUCCUACGGGAGGCAGCAGUGGGGAAUAUUGGACAAUGGGCGCAAGCCUGAUCCAGCCAUACCGCGUGGGUGAAGAAGGCCUUCGGGUUGUAAAGCCCUUUUGUUGGGAAAGAAAAGCAGCAGGUUAAUACCCCGCUGUUCUGACGGUACCCAAAGAAUAAGCACCGGCUAACUUCGUG
rnacentral:rRNA from 1 species